rnacentral:rRNA from 1 species
GGUAGUUGCGGGAAAUCAGGACUGUUACUUUGAAAAAAUUACAAUGUUUAAAGCAGGCUAACGCUUGAAUACAUUAGCAUGGAAUAAUGAAAUAGGACGUUAAUCCUAUUUUGUUGGUUUCUAGGAUCGACGUAAUGAUUAAUAGGGAUAGUUGGGGGCAUUAGCAUUCAAUUGUCAGAGGUGAAAUUCUUGGAUUUAUUGAAGACUAACUACUGCGAAAGCAUUUGCCAAGGAUGUUUUCACUAAUCAAGAACGAAAGUUAGGGGAUCGAAGACGAUCAGAUACCGUCGUAGUCUUAACCAUAAACUAUGCCGACUAGGGAUCGGAUGAUGUUAUUUUUAAUGACUCACUCGGCGCCUUACG